rnacentral:lncRNA from 1 species
AUAUAAUCAAUUUCAGCCAAGGUGGUGAGACUAGUCCUUAACCAGCUAAUCUCUUUCUUCUUUUCGUUAUUCUUGCAAAGUGAAUUUUCACAUGAUGACGUCCAGUAUCUUUUAUGAUCAGUGUUAACAAAUAAUCGAUUUUUUAAAGUUCGGUUAACCUUAAAAACUACGACUACUAAGGACUUAAUCACUUUUUUUGAAAUAGUAUAAAUUAUAGUACUCACAUUAAUGGAUACGUUUUUUAUACUGUCGCAAUAUUGAGAAAAAGAAACUCAAAAUGGAUGAUGUACCUUGAGUGUGGCCAAUCGCUCUACGUCUCUUCUGCGCCUCUUCCUAGACACACCCGAACAUCAACUAGUGGCCUAUGACUCCAGCUCAAAAACAAGCGUCAGGAAGACUUAAGAGCUCAAAAUGUUGGUGGAAGAAGUGGGGCUAACCGUUAACGAGCUUUAUGAUUUGUUCAUUACCGUCGGGGUUUAUACAAAUUAAAUCCCCCAAAUUGACCCUUGUUAAGCUGGAAGCGACUGAUGGAUAGGGCCUUGAUAUUAAUGCUAGCCUCAAAAUCCAAGAAGACCUUACCUUUCGAAAUUUUUGUGGGCAUCAUGCGCUAAGCAGUAGGUCAGUCUCCCACUGUCUUACAACAAAGGCUAGUGUCAUCUAAUCAUUAACUGAAGUAAUCAACAUUGCUGCGUAUUUAGGAUCAAAAGAGUUCUUGAAUAAUGAAGAUAAAUAUGAAAUCAUCAUGGACUUAUUGAACAAACUACUUACAUCCCUAGACUUGGAGGCAAUUCAUUCUUCAAAAUUGUCUUUAAUCAUAGAAGAGAUGACAUUACUCUUAAAAAAAAACCAAUUGAAGGAGAUUUUCAUAUUGUCUUCUCUCUGUUUGUAUUCUGUGGAAAAAUUAAUCUAUAGGGAAAUAUCCUGGAACAAAGAUAAAACACUUAAACAGCAGAGAGCGUAAUGUCAGUCUUAUAAUCGAUGAGGUCUACUACGCAGAAAGAGUCGAGUUUAUUAGAGGUAAGUUCUUGGGCUUCGAUAUCAAUUGGUUUCUCAACUCAAUGACAACAUCCGAUAGGAAGGCAGAAAAAGAUUAUCAGAAAACAAGUUCAAAUCUAGAAAGGUUGCCAAACUUCAAUCUGAUAAUGUUUAAGUUAUGAACAUUAAUUCUUCUGGACUUCUGGACAAGGACUUAUAAUUAUAACUCCCCAAUAAAUCCUCAGGGUUACUCUCCGUCUUUUAUGAGUAAAUGCAAAUGUUCAAUCUAGUUUCGUAUAGAUCAAUGAUAUGCUGUAUAAAAGGAAUUUCAAUCCUCUGGAAAGACAUUGCUUGAAGACCAUAAUAUCCCCACAGAGCCCUAGAGGAUACACAAGGGAGCCCCUGUUGAGAAUCACUGCCCGAUUCGAUGAACUUGAAUUAUAUUAGAUUAAACCGUGAGCAUAUCCUUACUGCCAAAUUGAGCGUAUUAGCAAGACAUCAUCAUUCUAGAAGUCGGUCAUCUUGUAGCCAACAACAACAACAUUCAAAUGUUAUUAGAAAAAUAUUUUCUUCAUUCAUAAGCCAUUUUGUUUAAUAUCUAUGUACGUGAUAUCAACUACUAUGUAGUCAAACUAUUGUCAGUUUUGAUUACAAUGAAAUACACUCUGUGAUGUAAGUAGAAGUCCAUAUUAAGAAUAGUCCCAAUAGUUUGUGAGAAUGAUAUAAUUCAUAAUUUGCUAACCACCGUAUAGUUUAUGGACUUUUUUAAUAAUAUGUAAAAUCCUCUUUAUGAACAAAGUUAUAUAAAUUAAUCAAUAAAAUCUA